rnacentral:sRNA from 1 species
AAAAAAAUGUAUACUCUACAUGUAAUUAUAUACAUGUACUGAAAUAUUUAAACCUUAAAUAUCUUUCACAUUCUUUUGUUUGAACACUUGUUUAUUAGUGGGUUGGAAUCUCUGUUAUAUUUCGUAAGAUAAGUACAUGUACAUGCAACAAUUUUAUUCUAUUUCCCACCAAUUUCUGCAUAGAUUAUGACAUAUAACAAAGUUUAUGUACGGGAAAUUAUAUGAAACUGUGAUAUGGCUGGGAAUCUCCAGAUUCUGGCCAAUCUGUUGGGAGAUGUUUCAUCUUAUACAUUGUGUCGGUGAUUUUAAAUAUUGGAAAUCAAUACUACUUAUUUACUUUAGAACAAUUGUAAUGUUAGCUGAACACUGGAUCUGUUGAACAACUGAUGAAAUUAUUAAUUAAAAAAGCACAAAGGAU